rnacentral:rRNA from 1 species
UUAAGCAAAAAAGAGCGCAGGGUGGAUGCCUUGGCACUAAGAGCCGAAGAAAGACGUGAUAAGCUGCGAAAAGCUGCGGGGAGAUGCAAAUAAUCCUUGAUCCGCAGAUGUCUGAAUGGGGAAACCCGGUACGAAGAACUCGUAUCAUCCAUACGCCAAUCCAUAACGUAUGGAGGGGAACCCGGUGAACUGAAACAUCUAAGUAGCCGGAGGAAGAGAAAGAAACAUCGAUUUUGUUAGUAGCGGCGAGCGAAAGCGAAAGAGGCCAAACCGGAGUGCGUGCACUCCGGGGUUCGGACCGCAUUUAAGAUUCAGUGAUUCUAGCAGAAAGGUUUGGGAAAGCCUGCCGGAGAGGGUGAAAGCCCCGUAAGCGAAAGGAGAGCUGACUGAGCGGGAUCCAGAGUACAUCGAGACACGAGAAACCUUGAUGGAAUGAGCGGGGACCACCCCGUAAGCCUAAAUACUACUUAGUGACCGAUAGCGCAUAGUACUGUGAAGGAAAGGUGAAAAGGACCCCGGGAGGGGAGUGAAAGAGAACCUGAAACCCUGUGUUUACAAGCUGUGGAAGUUCUUUAAAUGAACAACCGCGUACUUUUUGUAGAACGGUCCGGCGAGUUGCGGAUACUGGCAAGGUUAAGCACUUAAGGUGCGGAGCCGAAGGGAUACCAAGUCUUAACAGGGCGUUAAGUCAGUAUACGCAGACCCGAAACCGGGUGAUCUAUCCAUGUCCAGGUUGAAGUUGUCGUAAAAGACAAUGGAGGACCGAAGCCACAUCCGUUGAAAAGGGUGGGCAUGAGGUGUGGAUAGGGGAGAAAUUCCAAUCGAACCCGGAGAUAGCUGGUUCUCCUCGAAAUAGCUUUAGGGCUAGCCUCGAUUUAGUCUUAUGGAGGUAGAGCACUGAAUUUCCGCGGGGGCGUCAAAGCUUACCAAAGAAUAUCAAACUCCGAAUGCCAUGUAGAUGAUGAUCGGGAGUCAGACUGCACGAGAUAAGUUGGGCAGUCAAAAGGGAAAGAGCCCAGACCUACAGCUAAGGUCCCAAAGUGUGUGUUAAGUGGAAAAGGAUGUGGGAUUUCGAAGACAACUAGGAUGUUGGCUCAGAAGCAGCCAUACAUUCAAAGAGUGCGUAACAGCUCACUAGUCGAGAGUUCCUGCGCCGAAAAUGUCCGGGGCUGAAACACGACACCGAAGCCGUGGACUCGCAAUGCGAGUGGUAGAGGAGCAUUCUUAAAACCGACGAAGCUGUACCGGAAGGAGCAGUGGAGGGAUAAGAAGAGAGAAUGCCGGAAUGAGUAGCGAGAGAAAGGUGGGAAUCCUUUCGGCCGAAUAUCUAAGGUUUCCAGAGUAAAGCUGAUCUGCUCUGGGUAAGUCGGGGCCUAAGCACAGGUCGCAAGACGUAAGCGAUGGAUAACAGGUUUAGAUUCCUGUACCACGCAUUAUCAGAACUGUAGGGACGCAUGUGGAAAGCACGAGCCGGGAAUGGAAAGACCGGUACAAGCGAGGUAGGUGUACAAUAGGCAAAUCCGUUGUAUGAUCCGAAGACGUGAUGUGGAGCGAAAUAAAGUAGCAAAGCGUGUGAGCCAUGUGCCGAGAAAAGCUGCUAUUGUGUAAUGCGUGCCCGUACCGUAAACCGACACAGGUGGAUGAGGAGAGAAUCCUAAGGCCGACGGAAGAAGCAUUGUUAAGGAAUUCGGCAAAAUGACCCCGUAACUUCGGGAGAAGGGGUGCCUGCGAGAGCAGGCCGCAGAGAAUAGGCUCAAGCAACUGUUUAGCAAAAACACAGGUCUAUGCGAAACCGAAAGGUGAAGUAUAUGGGCUGACGCCUGCCCGGUGCUGGAAGGUUAAGAGGAGAGGUUAGCGCAAGCGAAGCUUUGAAUUUAAGCCCCAGUAAACGGCGGCCGUAACUAUAACGGUCCUAAGGUAGCGAAAUUCCUUGUC